GACUGCGUCUCCGAAUGCAUCCAGAUUAUUNNUGAUCAUGGCUCAGAGUGAACCGCUGGCGGUAGGCCUAACACAUGCAAGUCGAACGGCAGCACAGGAGAGCUUGCUCUCUGGGUGGCGAGUGGCGGACGGGUGAGGAAUACAUCGGAAUCUACUUUUUCGUGGGGGAUAACGUAGGGAAACUUACGCUAAUACCGCAUACGACCUACGGGUGAAAGCAGGGGAUCUUCGGACCUUGCGCGAUUGAAUGAGCCGAUGUCGGAUUAGCUAGUUGGCGGANA
rnacentral:rRNA from 1 species